rnacentral:rRNA from 1 species
UACAGAGGUCCCAAGCGUUGUUCGGAUUCAUUGGGCGUAAAGGGUGUGUAGGUGGCGCCGUAAGUCGGGUGUGAAAUUUCGGAGCUUAACUCCGAACCUGCAUUCGAUACUGCGGUGCUUGAGGACUGGAGAGGAGACUGGAAUUCAUGGUGUAGCAGUGAAAUGCGUAGAGAUCAUGAGGAAGACCAGUGGCGAAGGCGGGUCUCUGGACAGUGCCUGACACUGAGACACGAAGGCCAGGGGAGCAAACGGG